rnacentral:rRNA from 1 species
CGGAGGGUGCAAGCGUUAUCCGGAUUCACUGGGUUUAAAGGGUGCGUAGGUGGGCUAGUAAGUCCGUGGUGAAAUCUCCAAGCUUAACUUGGAAACUGCCGUGGAUACUAUUGGUCUUGAAUAUUGUGGAGGUAAGCGGAAUAUGUCAUGUAGCGGUGAAAUGCUUAGAUAUGACAUAGAACACCGAUAGCGAAGGCAGCUUGCUACACAAUUAUUGACACUGAGGCACGAAAGCGUGGGGAUCAAACAGGAUUAGAUACCCUGGUAGUCCACGCCCUAAACGAUGGAUACUCGACAUACGCGAUACACAGUGUGUGUCAGAGCGAAAGCAUUAAGUAUCCCACCUGGGAAGUACGACCGCAAGGUUG